rnacentral:rRNA from 1 species
AUUGAACGCUGGCGGCAUGCUUUACACAUGCAAGUCGAACGGUAACAGGCCGCAAGGUGCUGACGAGUGGCGAACGGGUGAGUAAUGCAUCGGAACGUGCCCAGUCGUGGGGGAUAACGCAGCGAAAGCUGCGCUAAUACCGCAUACGAUCUGUGGAUGAAAGCGGGGACCUUCGGGCCUCGCGCGAUUGGAGCGGCCGAUGUCAGAUUAGGUAGUUGGUGGGGUAAAGGCUCACCAAGCCGACGAUCUGUAGCUGGUCUGAGAGGACGACCAGCCACACUGGGACUGAGACACGGCCCAGACUCCUACGGGAGGCAGCAGUGGGGAAUUUUGGACAAUGGGGGCAACCCUAUCCAGCAAUGCCGCGUGCAGGAAGAAGGCCUCGGGUUGUAAACUGCUUUUUGUACGGAACGAAAAGGCUCUGGUUAAUACCUGGGGCUCAUGACGGUACCGUAAGAAUAAGCACCGGCUAACUACGUGCCAGCAGCCGCGGUAAUACGUAGGGUGCGAGCGUUAAUCGGAAUUACUGGGCGUAAAGCGUGCGCAGGCGGUGCUGUAAGACAGGCGUGAAAUCCCCGGGCUUAACCUGGGAAUGGCGCUUGUGACUGCAGUGCUGGAGUGUGGCAGAGGGGGCAUGGAAUUCCGCGUGUAGCAGUGAAAUGCGU